rnacentral:rRNA from 1 species
GCCUACGGGACGCAGCAGUGGGGAAUAUUGCACAAUGGGGGAAACCCUGAUGCAGCGACGCCGCGUGAGUGAAGAAGUAUUUCGGUAUGUAAAGCUCUAUCAGCAGGGAAGAUAAUGACGGUACCUGACUAAGAAGCCCCGGCUAACUACGUGCCAGCAGCCGCGGUAAUACGUAGGGGGCAAGCGUUAUCCGGAUUUACUGGGUGUAAAGGGUGCGUAGGUGGCAGGGCAAGUCAGAUGUGAAAGCCCGGGGCUCAACCCCGGUACUGCAUUUGAAACUGUCUAGCUGGAGUGCAGGAGAGGUA